GUACGCGAGCUGGGUUCAGAACGUCGUGAGACAGUUCGGUCCCUAUCCGUCGCAGGCGUAGGAAAUUUGAGAAGACCUGUCCUUAGUACGAGAGGACCGGGAUGGACGUACCUCUGGUGUACCAGUUGUUCUGCCAAGGGCAUGGCUGGGUAGCUAUGUACGGAAUGGAUAAGCGCUGAAAGCAUCUAAGCGCGAAGCCAACUUCAAGAUAAGAUUUCCCACCGCAAGGGUAAGGCCCCAGAAAGACUAUCUGGUUGAUAGGUCGAAGGUGUAAGUGCAGCAAUGUAUUUAGCUUAUCGAUACUAAUAGGUCGAGGACUUGACCAAU
rnacentral:rRNA from 1 species